rnacentral:sRNA from 1 species
CAGAGUGCUUGCCCCCCAUAUGAGAGGUCCUGGAUUCAGUCCAAGCACUGAUGAAAAUCAGAUGUACUUGAAAGAUUGUUUUUGAACCUCUACAUUCUUUAUCUGCAUGUGCUUAAAUACCUGCUGUAUAAAAUAAUUGCUAUGGAAGAAUUAUUUCAAAGAAACAGAAGAAGACUGGACUCACUUUCCUGUAUUUGACAGCACAUUUGUGUCCUAUUCAAGGAACAGAGAUGGUAUUUGGCAAAGUUGUUUGAUCAAGCACAAGGUAGAUAACAGUCAUUUGCUCCCAGCACGACUGACUCUGGAUCUGUGGGCUCAGAGCAGUAUUGUUGCCGAUGGAAAAAGGACUGAAGAGAGACGCACACACAUGCACCCCAGGUGCUGAGCACUGAACACUCGGGACUCACACAUCAUAAGUCAGUAAGCUCUCCCUUCUUCCACCAAGCUUUGGUUUUACAGCCAUCUCUCCAGCUCAUGUGGAGCUCAUUGGAAAAGCACACACAUCAAACCUUUGAAAAUAGACACUGCUGAUCUUUGGAAAAAAGAAAGUUCAGAAGAUCCUCCGAAAGAUCAUCUGUCCUCAAGGAAUUGAUCAAAGACUUCUAAUUGCAGAAAAAGCAAGGAAGGCCGGUUAGGAAAAAAAACAUACUCCUACAGAGCAGGUGGGCUGAAGGAAAGAGGGAAAAUAGAGGGAAACUACUCUACUGUAAGGCCCUGGACUCUUGUCUUGUGACCACCUUAAUGGAGCUCAUCUUAAUGGGCUCUGGGUGUAACUUGGGUCCUCACUCUUAGUACUUUGCCAACUGAGACAUUCCCCCAACUCUGUGUUGUCUUUUCUAUACAUCCUCAAGCUGCUAUAGACAAAAGAGAAUUGAGACAUUUGUCUCUACCUAAAUCUGGGCAAAACUCUAAAGACACUGUUCCCCUUUCCAGUGUCAGUCUCAGUCUGUGGCAGUGGUGAGCAAUGGACCUGAGUACCCAUUAACCGUAAUGUAGAGUAGUUUCAAUGAGAAGUGCCACUGUGUACAUCAAUUUGUUUGUCCAUCACUACCACUCUACAGCUCAGCUGGACACUGUUCAACCCUGAUGCCCAUAUAAUCUCUCUGCAGAACGCAAGGUAAAGGAGCCAGUGCUCUCUAGAACAUUCUAAUUCCAUUGCAGAGACUCAGAACAGAAUAACAAUCAGCGAUGUGUACAAUGUAUCCAAAGCUUAGCAGUGAGUCAUGCCCUCAACACCUGCUUUUCAGUACCCCCAUCCUUACCCACUCACCAACAAUCCAGGUUUUAUUACUAUGCCAUAAAAGAAAGAGAAGAAACCAGAUUUUGUGAAAUGUUUAAAUAACUUUAAAAUUUAUUUAAUAAAAAUUGCAUAAACACAACCAUAAGAUAAUAGAAAAGUUAAAUACAAACUACCACAUGUAAAAUAGGUUAUUGUAUAACUGGUAGUAUCAAGCCUAAAUACUAAAUCCCCAACUUCCACAGUGGGAAUGUUAAUAUAAUAAAAAAAAUUUAAUUUCACAUUAAUAUAUGCCAAAAUUUUUUAACAAUUUUUUAAAUUAAAUAGAACUUUUCAAAUGAACAGCUCAAUUCAACCCUAGAUGGGUUUUGUAUUAAAUGAGAUCUGAGAUAAAAAAUGGACAUUUGCCAUAAUGUUUUCUUCAAAUCAACUUCCAAAACUAAUGUAGGUCUGGGAAAGAAUGAGUCCUUUAAGGACCAUUAUGCUUUUCUUCAUAGUCCUGGAUGAGCAGGCAGUAGUUGGGCCACAAUUCUACACCCUGUACGAGUCAGUCAGUAGAGUAUGGUGGUUCAGGACAUCACAGGUCCUGGCAACCCAUUUUCAUUUCUUAUACUAUUUUCAAGCUUAAAAAGCCCAAAAUGUUAAAAAAGCACCACCACUACCCCAGCUUCAAUUUAACAGCAUUACUACAGCAUUAGAGAUGCUAGUGAACAGCUCCAGCUUCUUCCUGCUGAUGUCCCUCUUGAUCUUCAGCAGGGGAUGACACGAUGUGAGCAUUCCUUUCAGAAAUAGUCCAAACAAGGAAUAGAGGAAUGAUAAUGGCUAAGGUUUGCACGGGAGUAAAGGAAUAUAAUCAAUGGGGUUCGGUAAGGAAGAAAAAAAUGGGGAAAAAAGCAGUCAA